AUUGAACGCUGGCGGCAGGCCUAAUACAUGCAAGUCGAGCGGACGAAGGGAGCUCUUGCUUGGCUUCAGCUGCGGACGGGCGAGUAAUUCCCAGGAAUCUGCCUGGUCUAUGGGGAUAACGUCCGGUAACGGGCCCUAAUAUCACACACGUUCUGAUGUUGAAAGUCGUGGAUCUUUGGACCACACGCUAUUUGCUGACCCUAGGUCGUAGUAGCUAGUUGGCUAGGUAAAGGCCUACCAAGGCGACGAUCCGUAACCGGUCUGAGAGGAUGAUCUGUCACACUGGAACUGAGACACGGUCCAGACUCCUACGGGAGGCAGCAGUAGGGAAUAUUGGGCAAUGGGCGAAAGCCUGACCCAGCCAUGCCGCGUGAGUGAAGAAGGUCUUCGGAUUGUAAAACUCUUUUAGUAGGGAGGAAGAACAGUGAGAGUAUAUCUUGCUGUCUUGACGGUACCAACAGAGAAAGCACCGGCUAACUUCGUG
rnacentral:rRNA from 1 species